GCAAGCCAGCUAGCCUAAACACACCCACCAAACAACCAACCAUAAAUAAACAAACAUCCCCACCCCAAAAAUAAACCAUUCUCCCGCCCCAGUAUAGGUGAUAGAAAAGGCAAAAUUAGAGCUAUAGAGAAAGUACCGCAAGGGAAAGAUGAAAGAGAAAUGAAAAAACCCAUAAUCAAGCACCAAAAAGCAGAGAUCCCCCCCUCGUACCUUUUGCAUCAUGGUUUAGCAAGAAGACCUCAAGCAAGGCGCACCAUAGUUUGAAACCCCGAAACUAGACGAGCUACUCCGGAGCAGUCUAAAAGGACCAACCCUUCUCUGUGGCAAAAGAGUGGGAAGACUCCCGAGUAGAGGUGACAAGCCUAUCCGAGCCUAGUUAUAGCUGGUUGCUUAAGAAAUGAAUGUUAGUUCAGCCUUAUAUGAUUCUCAAACCGAAAAUUCACAACAAAAAGAACAAAGCAAUCUAUAAGAGUUAGUCCAAGGGGGGACAGCCCCUUAGAAAAAGAACACAACCUUAUCCAGGAGGACAAGGAUCAUAAAAUGAAAAGGACCUACUUCCUCAGUGGGCCUAAAAGCAGCCACCUGAGCAGAAGGCGUUAAAGCCCAGGAAGAACAUAACCAACAAUAAAGACAAAAACUCCAAACCCCCUAAAAAUAUUAAGCCCCUCUAUGCAGACAUAGAAGAGAUAAUGCUAAAAUCAGUAAUAAGAGAGCACAAGGCUCUCUCCAGGCACAUGUGUAAGUCAGAACGGACAAACCAAUGGCAAUCAACAGACCCAAAAUGAGGGAAAAGCACUCACACUAAAACAAACCAGAAAACCCUGCAACAAAACAACUGUUAAACCAACACAGGAGCGCCCACAAGGAAAGACUAAAAGAAGGAGAAGGAACUCGGCAAACACAAACCCCGCCUGUUUACCAAAAACAUCGCCUCUUGCCAACAAAUGGAAGUAUUAGAGGUCCCGCCUGCCCUGUGACCAUAAAGUUUAACGGCCGCGGUAUCUUGACCGUGCGAAGGUAGCGUAAUCACUUGUCUUUUAAAUGAAGACCUGUAUGAAUGGCAUAACGAGGGUUUAACUGUCUCCUCCCCCCAGUCAAUGAAAUUGAUCUGCCCGUGCAGAAGCGGGCAUAAAAACAUAAGACGAGAAGACCCUAUGGAGCUUUAGGCCAAAGAACAGACAUGUAAAGAACCUCAAUAAUCCAAAAGAAGUUUUAACAGAGAACACAAACUAAAUGUAGAAUGAUCCUAGUGCCUUCGGUUGGGGCGACCACGGGGGAAAGAAAAGCCCCCACACGGAAUGGAGUACACCUCCCAAACCAAGAAAAACAAUUCUAAGCAACAGAACAUCUGACCAAAAAUGACCCAGGACAAAUUUACCUAAACCUGAUCAAUGAACCAAGUUACCCUAGGGAUAACAGCGCAAUCCUUUCCCAGAGCCCAUAUCGACGAAAGGGCUUACGACCUCGAUGUUGGAUCAGGACAUCCUAAUGGUGCAGCCGCUAUUAAGGGUUCGUUUGUUCAACGAUUAACAGUCCUACGUGAUCUGAGUUCAGACCGGAGUAAUCCAGGUCGGUUUCUAUCUAUGAACACUACUUCUUCCCAGUACGAAAGGACCGGAAAAAGAGGGCCUAUACUAUAAGCAAGCCCUACCCCCACCUCCUGAAAAAAUAUAAAAGAGAUAAUGGGGAAUACCCAACAGCCAAAGAUAAUGGCAU
rnacentral:rRNA from 1 species